ACUCCUACGGGAGGCAGCAGUGGGGAAUUUUGGACAAUGGGCGAAAGCCUGAUCCAGCAAUGCCGCGUGAGUGAAGAAGGCCUUCGGGUUGUAAAGCUCUUUUGUCAGGGAAGAAACGGUGAGAGCUAAUAUCUUUUGCUAAUGACGGUACCUGAAGAAUAAGCACCGGCUAACUACGUGCCAGCAGCCGCGGUAAUACGUAGGGUGCAAGCGUUAAUCGGAAUUACUGGGCGUAAAGCGUGCGCAGGCGGUUUUGUAAGUCUGAUGUGAAAUCCCCGGGCUCAACCUGGGAAUUGCAUUGGAGACUGCAAGGCUAGAAUCUGGCAGAGGGGGGUAGAAUUCCACGUGUAGCAGUGAAAUGCGUAGAUAUGUGGAGGAACACCGAUGGCGAAGGCAGCCCCCUGGGUCAAGAUUGACGCUCAUGCACGAAAGCGUGGGGAGCAAACAGGAUUAGAAACCCUAGUAGUCCCA
rnacentral:rRNA from 1 species